UGAGGUCUGCAACUCGACCUCAUGAAGCUGGAAUCGCUAGUAAUCGCGAAUCAGCGAUGUCGCGAUGAAUACGUCCCUGGGCCUUGUACUCACCGCCCAUCACGCCAAGCGAGCUGAGAAUAGCCGAAGUCCGCAUUUAAUGUGGCCUAAGCUGGGUUCAGUAAGAGGGGCGAAGUUGUAACAAGGCACGGGUAGCGGAAGCUGUCCGUGGAUCAC
rnacentral:rRNA from 1 species